CCUACGGGAGGCAGCAGUAGGGAAUAUUGCACAAUGGGGGAAACCCUGAUGCAGCAACGCCGCGUGGGUGAUGAAGUUUUUCGGUUUGUAAACUCCUUUUGUCAGAGAAGAUAAUGACGGUACCUGACUAAGAAGCACCGGCUAACUCCGUGCCAGCAGCCGCGGUAAUACGUAGGGUGCAAGCGUUACCCGGAUUUACUGGGCGUAAAGAGCGCGUAGGCGGGAUAGCAAGUCAGAUGUGAAAGCCUAGGGCUGAACAACAGGACUGCCUUUGAAACUGUUAGACUAGAGUACGGGAGAGGGAAGUGGAAUUCUUGGUGUAGGGGUAAAAUGCGUAGAGAUCAAGAGGAAAACUAAUGGCGAAGGCGGCCUACUAGAAAGUAACUGACGUUGAGGCGCGAAAGCGUGGGGAGCAAACAGGAUUAGAUACCCCGGUAGUC
rnacentral:rRNA from 1 species